UAGAACAGUUCUGUAUCCUGAUUGUG
rnacentral:piRNA from 1 species